rnacentral:rRNA from 1 species
CCUACGGGGGGCAGCAGUGGGGAAUAUUGGACAAUGGGCGAAAGCCUGAUCCAGCCAUGCCGCGUGUGUGAAGAAGGCCUUCGGGUUGUAAAGCACUUUCAGUGGGGAAGAAAGCCUUGGGGCUAAUACCCUCGAGGAAGGACAUCACCCACAGAAGAAGCACCGGCUAACUCCGUGCCAGCAGCCGCGGUAAUACGGAGGGUGCGAGCGUUAAUCGGAAUUACUGGGCGUAAAGCGCGCGUAGGCGGUCUGAUAAGCCGGUUGUGAAAGCCCCGGGCUCAACCUGGGAACGGCAUCCGGAACUGUCAGGCUAGAGUGCAGGAGAGGAAGGUAGAAUUCCCGGUGUAGCGGUGAAAUGCGUAGAGAUCGGGAGGAAUACCAGUGGCGAAGGCGGUCUUCUGGACUGACACUGACGCUGAGGUGCGAAAGCGUGGGUAGCAAACAGGAUUACAUACCCUUGUAGUC